AGAUAUAAUGGCCAUCUGGCUGUAGCACGUGACACCCUGUCGAUUGCCAGGCUGGCUAGGAGGGUGUCCCUUUCCUCCCGAACUACUCCGAAUGAGUCUAUUCCAGAGCGGCACACUCAGAGGGUGACCUCCACCACAGAGGAGGACUGAGUCACUGGCCGAGGGUGUAUGAGGGUGUAUGUGCUCCAAGCUAUAACCUCCAAACAAAGAUUUCAAGGACUCUCAAGUAUGCCGUGCUCCCAUCCCCGGGGAAAGGCUUGCUGGUUGUGCUCUCAAGAUGGGACCAUGAUGACGAAAUCCAUUCCAAAAAGAAUGGCAUGUGAUUUCGU
rnacentral:snRNA from 1 species